AACGAACGCUGGCGGCAUGCCUAACACAUGCAAGUCGAACGAGACCUUCGGGUCUAGUGGCGCACGGGUGCGUAACGCGUGGGAACCUGCCCUUAGGUUCGGAAUAACUCCCCGAAAGGGGUGCUACUACCGGAUAAUGUCUUCGGCCCAAAGAUUUAUCGCCUUUGGAUGGGCCCGCGUUGGAUUAGCUAGUUGGUAGGGUAAAAGCCUACCAAGGCGACGAUCCAUAGCUGGUCUGAGAGGAUGAUCAGCCACACUGGGACUGAGACACGGCCCAGACUCCUACGGGAGGCAGCAGUGGGGAAUAUUGGACAAUGGGCGAAAGCCUAAUCCAGCAAUGCCGCGUGAGUGAUGAAGGCCUUAGGGUUGUAAAGCUCUUUUACCCGGGAUGAUAAUGACAGUACCGGGAGAAUAAGCUCCGGCUAACUCCGUG
rnacentral:rRNA from 1 species